rnacentral:rRNA from 1 species
UGGGGAAUAUUGGACAAUGGGGGCAACCCUGAUCCAGCAAUGCCGCGUGUGUGAAGAAGGUCUUCGGAUUGUAAAGCACUUUUGGCAGGGACGAUGAUGACGGUACCUGCAGAAUAAGCCCCGGCUAACUUCGUGCCAGCAGCCGCGGUAAUACGAAGGGGGCUAGCGUUGCUCGGAAUGACUGGGCGUAAAGGGCGCGUAGGCGGUUUGCACAGUCAGAAGUGAAAUUCCUGGGCUCAACCUGGGGACUGCUUUUGAUACGUGCGGACUAGAGUGGGGAAGAGGGUUGUGGAAUUUCCAGUGUAGAGGUGAAAUUCGUAGAUAUUGGAAAGAACACCGGUGGCGAAGGCGGCAACCUGGUCCUUGACUGACGCUGAGGCGCGAAAGCGUGGGGAGCAAACAGGAUUAGAUACCCCCGUAGUCC